UGAGUAACACGUGGGUGAUCUGCCCUGCACUUCGGGAUAAGCCUGGGAAACUGGGUCUAAUACCGGAUAGGACCACGGGAUGCAUGUCCUGUGGUGGAAAGCUUUUGCGGUGUGGGAUGGGCCCGCGGCCUAUCAGCUUGUUGGUGGGGUGACGGCCUACCAAGGCGACGACGGGUAGCCGGCCUGAGAGGGUGUCCGGCCACACUGGGACUGAGAUACGGCCCAGACUCCUACGGGAGGCAGCAGUGGGGAAUAUUGCACAAUGGGCGCAAGCCUGAUGCAGCGACGCCGCGUGGGGGAUGACGGCCUUCGGGUUGUAAACCUCUUUCACCAUCGACGAAGGUCCGGGUUUUCUCGGAUUGACGGUAGGUGGAGAAGAAGCACCGGCCAACUACGUGCCAGCAGCCGCGGUAAUACGUAGGGUGCGAGCGUUGUCCGGAAUUACUGGGCGUAAAGAGCUCGUAGGUGGUUUGUCGCGUUGUUCGUGAAAUCUCACGGCUUAACUGUGAGCGUGCGGGCGAUACGGGCAGACUGGAGUACUGCAGGGGAGACUGGAAUUCCUGGUGUAGCGGUGGAAUGCGCAGAUAUCAGGAGGAACACCGGUGGCGAAGGCGGGUCUCUGGGCAGUAACUGACGCUGAGGAGCGAAAGCGUGGGGAGCGAACAGGAUUAGAUACCCUGGUAGUCCACGCCGUAAACGGUGGGUACUAGGUGUGGGUUUCCUUCCUUGGGAUCCGUGCCGUAGCUAACGCAUUAAGUACCCCGCCUGGGGAGUACGGCCGCAAGGCUAAAACUCAAAGGAAUUGACGGGGGCCCGCACAA
rnacentral:rRNA from 1 species